rnacentral:rRNA from 1 species
CAGCCGCCGCGGUAAAACGGAGGGGGCUAGCGUUGUUCGGAAUUACUGGGCGUAAAGCGCACGUAGGCGGCUUUGUAAGUUAGAGGUGAAAGCCCGGAGCUCAACUCCGGAAUUGCCUUUAAGACUGCAGAGCUAGCAGGUGAGAGAGGUGAGUGGAAUUCCGAGUGUAGAGGUGAAAUUCGUAGAUAUUCGGGAGAACACCAGUGGCGAAGGCGGCUCACUGGCUCAUACUGGACGCUGAGGUGCGAAAGCGUGGGGAGCAAACAGGAUUAGAUACCCCUGUAGUCCCUGUCUCUUAUAC